UACGGGGGGGGCAAGCGUUGUUCGGAAUUACUGGGCAUAAAGGGCGCGUAGGCGGCUUUGUAAGUCGGGGGUGAAAGCCUGUGGCUCAACCACAGAAUUGCCUUCGAUACUGCGAGGCUUGAGACCGGAAGAGGUUAGUGGAACUGCGAGUGUAGAGGUGAAAUUCGUAGAUAUUCGCAAGAACACCAGUGGCGAAGGCGGCUGACUGGUCCGGAUCUGACGCUGAGGCGCGAAAGCGUGGGGAGCAAACAGG
rnacentral:rRNA from 1 species